rnacentral:rRNA from 1 species
UGCGGAAGGAUCAUUAGUGAAUCUAGGACGUCCAACUUAACUUGGAGUCCGAACUCUCACUUUCUAACCCUGUGCAUCUGUUAAUUGGAAUAGUAGCUCUUCGGAGUGAACCGCCAUUCACUUAUAAAAACACAAAGUCUAUGAAUGUAUACAAAUUUAUAACAAAACAAAACUUUCAACAACGGAUCUCUUGGCUCUCGCAUCGAUGAAGAACGCAGCGAAAUGCGAUACGUAAUGUGAAUUGCAGAAUUCAGUGAAUCAUCGAAUCUUUGAACGCACCUUGCGCUCCUUGGUAUUCCGAGGAGCAUGCCUGUUUGAGUGUCAUGAAAUCUUCAACCCACCUCUUUCUUAGUGAAUCUGGUGGUGCUUGGUUUCUGAGCGCUGCUCUGCUUCGGCUUAGCUCGUUCGUAAUGCAUUAGCAUCCGCAACCGAACUUCGGAUUGACUUGGCGUAAUAGACUAUUCGCUGAGGAUUCUAGUUUUACUAGAGCCGAGUUGGGUUAAAGGAAGCUCCUAAUCCUAAAGUCUAUUUUUUGAUUAGAUCUCAAAUCAKGUAGGACUACCCGCUGAACUUAAGCAUAUC